GAUGAACGCUGGCGGCGUGCCUAAUACAUGCAAGUCGAGCGAACAGACGAGGAGCUUGCUCCUCUGACGUUAGCGGCGGACGGGUGAGUAACACGUGGAUAACCUACCUAUAAGACUGGGAUAACUUCGGGAAACCGGAGCUAAUACCGGAUAAUAUAUUGAACCGCAUGGUUCAAUAGUGAAAGACGGUUUUGCUGUCACUUAUAGAUGGAUCCGCGCCGCAUUAGCUAGUUGGUAAGGUAACGGCUUACCAAGGCAACGAUGCGUAGCCGACCUGAGAGGGUGGUCGGCCGCACUGGAACGGGGACACGGUCCAGACUCCUACGGGAGGCAGCAGUAGGGAAUCUUCCGCAAUGGGCGAAAGCAUGACGGAGCAACGCCGCGUGAGUGAUGAAAGUCUUCGGAUCGUAAAACUCUGUUAUUAGGGAAGAACAGAUGUGUAAGUAACUAUGCACGUCUUGACGGUACCUAAUCAGAAAGCCACGGCUAACUACGUG
rnacentral:rRNA from 1 species